UACGAAGGGGGCUAGCGUUGUUCGGAAUUACUGGGCGUAAAGCGCACGUAGGCGGAUAUUUAAGUCAGGGGUGAAAUCCCGGGGCUCAACCCCGGAACUGCCUUUGAUACUGGGUAUCUCGAGUCCGAGAGAGGUGAGUGGAAUUCCGAGUGUAGAGGUGAAAUUCGUAGAUAUUCGGAGGAACACCAGUGGCGAAGGCGACUCACUGGACAUGUAUUGACGCUGAGGUGCGAAAGCGUGGGGAGCAAACAGG
rnacentral:rRNA from 1 species